rnacentral:rRNA from 1 species
UGGGGAAUAUUGGACAAUGGGGGGAACCCUGAUCCAGCCAUGCCGCGUGUGUGAAGAAGGCCUUAUGGUUGUAAAGCACUUUAAGCGAGGAGGAGGGUACUGGUAUUAAUACUACCAGGUACUGGACGUUACUCGCAGAAUAAGCACCGGCUAACUCUGCGCCAGCAGCCGCGGUAAUACAGAGGGUGCGAGCGUUAAUCGGAUUUACUGGGCGUAAAGCGUGCGUAGGCGGCUAAUUGAGUCGGAUGUGAAAUCCCCGAGCUUAACUUGGGAAUUGCAUUCGAUACUGGUUAGCUAGAGUGUGGGAGAGGAUGGUAGAAUUCCAGGUGUAGCGGUGAAAUGCGUAGAGAUCUGGAGGAAUACCGAUGGCGAAGGCAGCCAUCUGGCCUAACACUGACGCUGAGGUACGAAAGCAUGGGGAGCAAACAGG